AGGUGAGCCGGGACAGCCUUCUUCCUCCGCCCAGCCGCCACAGUGAUUGUCGUCAAGUCUGCCACAGGAGGAUAUUUUGUUCUGAGUUAACCUGCUUUUCUACUUCGCAGGUUGUUUAUUAAUAUUUGUGUAAUUUUAAUUACUCCUAGAAUUUCCGCAUGUGUUAGCAGUAAUUAUUUGAAUUUGGUCUGUAAUAUUAUAUUCAUAUUGGACCUGUAAAUUUAAUAUUUUAAGUCUGUU